ACGCUCGACACCUACGGGAGGAGCAGUGGGGAAUAUUGCACAAUGGAGGAAACUCUGAUGCAGCGAUGCCGCGUGAGGGAAGAAGGUUUUCGGAUUGUAAACCUCUGUCUUCGGGGACGAUAAUGACGGUACCCAAGGAGGAAGCUCCGGCUAACUACGUACCAGCAGCCGCGGUAAUCUGAGCGGGCUGGCAAGGC
rnacentral:rRNA from 1 species